UACAGAGGGGUGCGAGCGUUAAUCGGAUUUUACUGGGCGUAAAAGCGUGCGUAGGCGGCUGAUUAAAGUCGGAUGUGAAAUCCCUGAGCUUAACUUAGGAAUUGCAUUCGAUACUGGUCAGCUAGAGUAUGGGAGAGGAUGGUAGAAUUCCAGGUGUAGCGGUGAAAUGCGUAGAGAUCUGGAGGAAUACCGAUGGCGAAGGCAGCCAUCUGGCCUAAUACUGACGCUGAGGUACGAAAGCAUGGGGAGCAAAACAGG
rnacentral:rRNA from 1 species